AUGCUUUUGUUUAAUGAGAACAUCCCUGCUUUGGUAGCUGAGUUCUGCCUUCACAAUUUCCUUCACACACUUCUGCAGCGAAGUGAUUUGAGAGCCAGCACCUGCAGCAGCUUGUUGGCUGCAGCUGGGCAGCACCAAGCCGGUGAGGAAGGGCCAGCUGGAGCAACUGCAGAAUUAAGGGCAUCAUUUAAAAGAAGGGAGCUCCAUGGAGCCAAACCUCUCUUCCCAGAGCUGUUGCUGAAGAUAAUUGGGUUCUGUGCAGGCUCCUGCCCACCUGCUACCAGGGCGCCGUGUCUCAGGCCGUGACAAAGGGUAUGUUAAAUGCAGAGACUCUGUCAGGGGAGGAAAUCUGUGUCCCUUCAGGCAGAAUAAGGAUUCCUCCACCACAGAGGUUUGGUUUCGGUGGGGUUGGAGCAAUGUGCAUUGUUACCCCCCUCCUGCUCCCUCUUUGAAUGGUACCAGUGCACCACCUUCAUUUUCCAUUCAUUUUUGUUUGGUUGGUUGGUUUUGCUUGAUAAUUUCCACAGGGAAAGAAAAAUGGAAUUUUGUGUGGCAGAUUUUGGCGAGGGGAAAAAAAAAAAAAAGGAAAAAAUGAUUCAUAGUCAAGCUGAUAUUUCAUUAUUAUUUUUCAAGCUCCUGAACAGAAAA
rnacentral:lncRNA from 1 species